AGAGGUUAAUUUAAGCCAGGUAGAGGAUAGCUCGGCUCAAGACGCUGAUGAAGGACGUGACAAGCUGUGAAAAUCUUGGGUGAGGCGCAUGUAGCCUUGGAGCCCAAGGUUUCCUAAUAGGACUUCCUACGUGUUUUACACGUGUUUCCUCUGGAAACGGGAACGCUGGGAACUGAAACAUCUUAGUACCAGCAGGAAAAGAAAUCAACCGAGAUACCGUUAGUAGGGGCGAUCGAAAGCGGUUCAGAGCAAACUGAAUACCUUCACGUGAGUGAAGGAAUAUGUGGUUUUUUGGUCCGUCUUUUAGUCUUUGAGACCUAACCGAAGUUUUCUGGAACGGAACACUUCAGAGGGUGAUAGUCCCGUAGGUAAACGUUUCAAAGAUGUGACGGUUUCCAGAAUAGCAGGGGUUGGAAAUCCCUUGUGAAUUUGGGAGGCACCGACUUCCAACUCUAAAUACGUCUUGAGUCCGAUAGCGUACCAGUAGCGUGAGCGAAAGUUGAAAAGAAUCCCUAAAAAGGAGGUUAAAAGAGCUUGAACCUGCCUGGUCUUAGGCUGGUCAGAGCCUUAAAGCGCCGAUGUUCCUUGAAGGAAUCAACUGAGAGGUUGUAGUACGAGAGGAGCGGAGCAGGGUUCUGACUUCCGUUUUGAAAAACGGGGCAGGGAGUGUAUUUCUGUGGCGAGGUUAAAAAGUGUCUAGCUUUGCAACCGAAGCGAAAGCAACAUGUCCGCAACAUUGUGAGGGACGCCGUACGAAAGUGCGGGAAGUCACUGAAAUACUAUCCGAAGCCGGUUGAUCUAUUCAUGGUCCGGGUGAAAUGUAGCGAAAGCUGCAUGGAGGCCCAAAGCGUUGCUGUGAGCAAGCGCUCGUGUGAACUGUGAAUAGCGGUGAAAUGCCAAUCGAAACCGGUAAUCGCUGGUUCCUCCCGAAAUGCACCGAAGUGCAGCCCCUGACGAGGCAAUUAGUGAGGUAGAGCUACUGAUUAUGGAAAUCCAGCUCUUUGAGCUGCUUCCGUUGUCAAACUCCGAACUUGCUAAUGCUGAAAACUCAGGGAGUGAGGGGUAGCGGGUAAGCUGCUGCUCCUAGAGGGAAACAACCCAGACUAGGGUUAAGGUCCCUAAGUGCUAGUUAAGUGUACCUGAAGGUUGUCCCGGAUCUUAGACAGCGGGGAGGUUAGCUUAGAAGCAGCUAUCCUUUAAAGAAAGCGUAAAAGCUCACCCGUUGAGGUCUGGGACGCCGUAAAUGGACGGGGCUCAAACUAGCCACCGAGACCCUGGGGGCGUGGUAGCAUUCCACGACCGGUAGGGAGGCGUCCUGCAUGGAUGGAAAUUCGGCUGUGAGGUCGAAUGGACCGUGUAGGAACGAUAAUCCUGUCGGCAGUACCAACAAAAGUGAGGUUCGAAUCCUCACCCCCGCAAGGGCAAGGGUUCCCCAGCAAUGUUCGUCAGCUGGGGGUUAGUCGAUCCUAAGUCAUUCCUUAAUCGAGGAUGACGAAUGGGAAACCGGUUAAUAUUCCGGUACCGUUAGGACACGUUCAGUUGACUCUGACGUUUUGGGAUAAGCUAAGCAGAGACAUACUCUGUUUAAUGGUUUAAGGAAGGGGAGCGCCGUAAUGGCGAGAACCUUUUGAAUGCCAGAACAGCCUAGGAACAAAUCCUGGGUUUAGCUGAUUCCUAGAACCCGUGAAAAGGAGUCUUAAGUCCUUGUUCGUACCCAGAUCCAGCACAGGUGCCCUGGUUGAAUAGACUAAGGGGUGUCGAGUAAUACUUGGCUUAGGGAAUUCGGCAAAUUAGCCCCGUAACUUUUGGAGAUGGGGUGCCCGUCUUUGUGAAAGGACGGGUUGCAAUGACUAGAGAUGCCCGACUGUUUAAUAAAAACGUAGCUGGCUGCUAGCCUGAAAAGGUUUGUACAGCCGGCGACUCCUGCCCAGUGCGAGUACCUGAUUACCUUGUACAAGAGGAAGAAGGGCUCGUAAACGGCGGCGGUAACUAUGACCGUCUUAAGGUAGCGUAAUCCCUUGCCAAUCAACUGUUGGCCCGCACGAAUGGAGUAACGAGGUAUCUACUGUCCCAAGCCAAGGCUCGGUGAACCGCGCCAUACCGGUGCAAAGGCCGGUGACAUCCAGUGGGAAGCGAAGACCCUGUGAACCUUUACCGCAGGCUUUUAUUGAUGUAUGGGCUUUGGUGUGAAGCGUAGGUAGGAGGCUUCGAAGUCGCGCCACUAGGUGUGAUGGAGCCAACCAUGGGACACUACCCUCCGAAGCCCGUACGUCUAACCUGAAAAGGGACAGUGAUAGUUGGGCGGUUUAGCUGGGGCGGCAUCCGUCUGAUAACAAAUCAGACGGGUCCAAAGGUCCUCUCAGCCCGGUCAGAACUCGGGCGUAGAGCACAAAGGCAAAAGAGGGCCUGACAGGACUCACUACAUUUCUGAGUCCUGACGCGAAAGCGAGGCUUAGCGAACCCUAGUAGCCUCUUGGUUGAGGCUCUGGUAUGACAGAAAAGGUACUCCGGGGAUAACUGGAUUGUCUGCGGCGCGAGCCCAUAUCGACCCGCAGGCUUGUUACUUCGAUGUCGGCUCUCCGUAUCCUGGCCGUGCAGCCGCGGCCAAGGGUGGGGGUGUUCACCCAUUAAAACGGAUCGUGAGCUGGGUUUAGAUCGGCGUGAGCCAGAUCGGUUGCUAUCUACUGGAUGUGUUUGAUUGGUUGAGAGGAAGUUUCGGACAGUACGAAAGGAACCCCGAAACGGAGCCUAUGGUGUAGCAGUUGUCCUAAAGGGCAUGCUGCGUAGCUACGCUCUAUGGGAUAAGGGCUGAAAGCAUCUAAGCCUGAAACCUUCCUUAAAAAGAACCAAUUUUGGCGCCUUUAUAAGACAGGUUUGAUAGAGUAGCGGUGUAAGCACUGAGGAAACGAAGUGUUCAGCCGACUACUACUAAGAGCCUUUUAGAAUCUUUU
rnacentral:rRNA from 1 species